rnacentral:rRNA from 1 species
AACUUCGGGAAAAGGAUUGGCUCUUAGGGCUGGGUGUAGGGGGCUCGGACCUCGCGUCCGGGCCGGAGCUGGGAGCGCUGCGCCCUCGGGUGCGGCGAGCCCGGCACUGGCCCGGGCAACGGGUUCGAGAGCGGUGGCUCUCGGGUCACCAAUCCCUGCACAAUGAACAGCUGACUAAGAACUGUAACGGACAAGGGGAAU